rnacentral:sRNA from 1 species
AAACAAAAAUUGAUGCAAAUACCUGAUGAAGAGGGUAUUGUUAUUGAUGGAUUUCCAAGAGAUGUUGCCCAGGCUCUAUCUUUUGAGGAUCAAAUCUGUACCCCCGAUUUGGUGGUAUUCCUGGCUUGUGCUAAUCAGAGACUCAAAGAAAGAUUACUGAAGCGUGCAGAACAGCAGGGCCGACCAGACGACAAUGUAAAAGCUACCCAAAGGAGACUAAUGAACUUCAAGCAGAACGCUGCUCCCUUGGUUAAAUACUUCCAGGAAAAGGGGCUCAUCAUGACAGUAAGUUAGCUCGACUUUUACAAGUCCAAUACAAGAGUGCUCUUUCAGAUUUCUCAUUAGCCGAUGUUCUCAUUUAGAAAUCCUCUUUACCUUAAAAAGUGGCUUUUGGGGGGUACAGAACCAAUGGAAAAAAAUGUAUCAUUUUGACCUGAUUUGCCUUUUUAAGCCAUAAUGUUUUUUUAAAAACUUUCAUUUUAAUUUGAUUGAUUUUUAUGAAAGAAGAUAAAUUUUAACCUUGGCCAAAAUUCUGUAGUCCUCAAGUAAAAAAGCGUUUUAAAGUAACUGUCUGGGUGAUUGUAAGCAAUAUUUGU